rnacentral:rRNA from 1 species
UACGUAGGGUGCAAGCGUUAAUCGGAAUUACUGGGCGUAAAGCGUGCGCAGGCGGUUGGGCAAGACAGAUGUGAAAUCCCCGGGCUCAACCUGGGAAUUGCAUUUGUGACUGCACGGCUAGAGUGUGUCAGAGGGGAGUAGAAUUCCACGUGUAGCAGUGAAAUGCGUAGAGAUGUGGAGGAAUACCGAUGGCGAAGGCAGCCCCCUGGGAUAACACUGACGCUCAUGCACGAAAGCGUGGGGAGCAAACAGG